rnacentral:tRNA from 1 species
GGGAAUGUAGCUUAGUGGUAUAGUGCUUGCCUCAAACGCAUGAAGCGUGGGCUUCGAUUCCUCAGUACCA